rnacentral:rRNA from 1 species
GAUUUCUGGCUUGAAACAUUUUGCCGGCCACGGUUUCGUGUGUUAGUGCUUGAUGUUCUGGCCAUCCUUCCAAUCGCUAUCGGCUUAUCUUCAUUGAUCGGUCGGUAGUAUUGGAUCUUUUACUUUGAAAAAAUUAGAGUGUUUCAAGCAGGCUUUAUGCUAUGAAUACAUUAGCAUGGAAUAAUAAUUUAGGACUUCGGUUCUAUUUUGUUGGUUUCUAGGACUGAAGUAAUGAUUGAUAGGGACAGUUGGGGGUGCUAGUAUUCAGUGAGAAAGGGUGAAAUCUUUGGAUUCACUGAAGACUAACUUAUGCGAAAGCAUU